rnacentral:rRNA from 1 species
UGAGCAAUCUGCCCUUCACAUCGGAAUAACCAUUGGAAACGAUGGCUAAUACCGAAUAUGACUUCGGAUCGCAUGAUCUGAAGUGGAAAGCUCCGGCGGUGAAGGAUGAGCUCGCGGCCUAUCAGCUUGUUGGUGAGGUAAUGGCUCACCAAGGCGACGACGGGUAGCCGGCCUGAGAGGGUGACCGGCCACACUGGGACUGAGACACGGCCCAGACUCCG